UACGUAGGGCGCAAGCGUUGUCCGGAAUUACUGGGCGUAAAGAGCUCGUAGGUGGUUUGUCGCGUUGUUCGUGAAAACUCACAGCUCAACUGUGGGCGUGCGGGCGAUACGGGCAGACUAGAGUACUGCAGGGGAGACUGGAAUUCCUGGGUGUAGCGGUGGAAUGCGUAGAGAUCGGGAAGAACAUCAGUGGCGAAGGCGGUCUGCUGGGCCGUUGCUGACGCUGGAGGCGCGACAGCGUGGGGAGCAAACAGG
rnacentral:rRNA from 1 species